rnacentral:lncRNA from 1 species
GAGGUCCUUCCGGGAGUCCAGCUGACACAGGUCUCGGCCAGGGCUCUACCUGCGCUCAGGAUUGGAAAAGCUGUGCGCAAUGAGAGGCGCGUUGGUUCUCCGCAACGGGGAGCAGAAACCGGCCUGGGUCAGCCAGUGGACUGGUUGGAAGCAGAGAACUGAAAGAAAACCAACACCCUAGUGAGGCCAAGGGAGAUUUUAAAGGCUGAAGCAGAAGGAUCUCAAGUUCAAGCCAGAUUCCUUAGGGAGCAUUUGCCUCCAUAAAAUAACCCUAACUGUUGUCAAGUGACAGUGAACUCCAGUGACCAUCAGACAAGGGUAAGCGUAGUCCUCACCCCUCAUCAAGGAAACUUCCCUUGGCAACUGACAUCGAUCAUUACAGAAAACUGCAACCAAUCAAAUUGCAGUUGUACAGCCCAAUCCCAGCAGAUACAGCUACAAAACAACUCUUGCAACUAAGCUCAGGGAUCGUUGUGAAGGAGAGAACGGGAAGAUUGUAAGAUCCAGGGAAUCAAGGAAUUUGCUAUGAGACAGUGUCUCCCAGAAGCUGCACAUCCAUGAAGUCUCUCCAAUAUAGCUGCCUAAAUGUGACCUGAGUAAUGACACCAGUCGCCAUGUUAACACGGAUGAGGGAAAGCCAGGGAGGCUACACCCCCACCUGCAGCCAACUAAGAAAUGCUGGGAUUGGGAAAAAUUGUCUUCCCCUAGGAAGAGCACUGCAGUUGUUAUCCCAUACCACGUGGUCAGCACUGAAAACAUAUAUAUACAACUAAUAUCAUACAGGCUGAGCCAAUUGCAUUUACACAUUUAGGAAUAUACAUAUACACUUUCAUGUGUGUAAUAACAACCAAAUUUUGUUUUGUUUUGUUUUUAAAAAGCUCAUGAAUUUGAAAGAAAACAAUGGGAAGGAUAUAUGAGAGGGUUUGGAGAGAGGAAAGGGAAGGGGGAAAUGAUGUAAUUAUAUUAUAAUC